UGGGGAAUAUUGCACAAUGGGCGCAAGCCUGAUGCAGCCAUGCCGCGUGUUUGAAGAAGGCCUUCGGGGUGUAAAGUACUUUCAGCGGGGAGGAAGGGAGUAAAGUUAAUACCUUUGCUCAUUGACGUCACCCGCAGAAGAAGCACCGGCUAACUCCGUGCCAGCAGCCGCGGUAAUACGGAGGGUGCAAGCGUUAAUCGGAAUUACUGGGCGUAAAGCGCACGCAGGCGGUUUGUUAAGUCAGUUGUGAAAUCCGCGGGCUCAACCUGGGAACUGCAUCUGAUACUGGCGAGCUUGAGUCUCGUGGAGGGGGGUAGAAUUCCAGGUGUAUCGGUGGAAUGCGUAGAGAUCUGGAGGAAUACCGGUGGCGAAGGCGGCCCCAUGUACGAAGACUGACACUCAGGUGCGCAAGAGUGUGGAGCAAACAGG
rnacentral:rRNA from 1 species